rnacentral:rRNA from 1 species
GUGGGGAAUUUUGGACAAUGGGCGAAAGCCUGAUCCAGCCAUGCCGCGUGCAGGAUGAAGGCCUUCGGGUUGUAAACUGCUUUUGUACGGAACGAAAAGACUCUGGUUAAUACCUGGGGUCCAUGACGGUACCGUAAGAAUAAGCACCGGCUAACUACGUGCCAGCAGCCGCGGUAAUACGUAGGGUGCAAGCGUUAAUCGGAAUUACUGGGCGUAAAGCGUGCGCAGGCGGUUAUAUAAGACAGAUGUGAAAUCCCCGGGCUCAACCUGGGAACUGCAUUUGUGACUGUAUAGCUAGAGUACGGCAGAGGGGGAUGGAAUUCCGCGUGUAGCAGUGAAAUGCGUAGAUAUGCGGAGGAACACCGAUGGCGAAGGCAAUCCCCUGGGCCUGUACUGACGCUCAUGCACGAAAGCGUGGGGAGCAAACAGGAUUAGAUACCCUGGUAGUCC